UCCCAGUUCGGAUUGCAGGCUGCAACCCGCCUGCAUGAAGCCGGAAUCGCUAGUAAUCGCGGAUCAGAAUGCCGCGGUGAAUACGUUCCCGGGUCUUGUACACACCGCCCGUCACACCAUGGGAGUCGAUAACGCCCGAAGUCAGUGACCCAACCUUGUAGGAGGGAGCUGCCGAAGGCGGGAUGGAUAACUGGGGUGAAGUCGUAACAAGGUAAC
rnacentral:rRNA from 1 species